GUGCAGUGGUCUGGCUCACAGGGAUAUCCACAAGCCAGACCCAGAAAGCCUUUGCUACCACUGAUGAAGAUGCGAAGUCCACAGCCCUCCAGCCAGAAGACCCUUGGUCUAGCCCUUGGAUUCAGACUGAAUUGACAUCGCCAGGUUUCCUGUAUUUUCAGCUUGCAGGCAGCUGACUGUAGGACUUCUCAGCCUCCUUAAUCAUGUGAGCAAAUUUCACUUAAUAUUGUAAAGAUUGCUUUAGUCAGCUGGCCAGGUUCUUAAAUUCUUGAAAGUAAAAGUGAUGGCAGGAGUUGACACUGAAGUGCUAUAUAACCUGUGACAUGAGAGAAGGACUUUCUCUUUUUUCUAUAUAAUCUUCAUCCAGAAUUACUUUUGGAAUUGGCCAGAAGAAUUUCAAGCACUAUCUUUUAUUGUGAGAAAUACAAUAAUACUAGUUUAAAAAUCAUAUAUUUUGUAUGCUAGAUUGUUGUCUAAAGAUAUCCCAGGACCCCACAAAGACAUAGUUACUGAACAUCGUGUUCAAAUACAGGUUAUAAUUAUCAACAUUAAGGUCCUUUAAUUCCAUAUUCUGUGUAUUUAGAAUCCUCUAUUAGGGAACCAGUAUCACUCAUGAUAAGGGAAACAAAAGGCAGUUCAAAAUGCAUAUAUUUAUUUAUGUUUUAUAUGCUUCAGAUUUGAGAAGUGUAUUCUGUCUUAUAAACCCACAAAGCCUUAGACGAUAGCUCCGUGAUUGGUUCAUCAAUCUAUCAUGUUAGGCAAAGCUUAUUUCCAAAUGUAACAACAAAACACAUGAUUAAAUGUUACAAUAAAUAGGAAAUAUGGUUUCUAGUGAAAAUGAAACAUCCUUGUGUGUACUAUCCUAAUAAUUUAUGUCAAGGCUCUUUACAGCAUCUUACCAAUCUCAAAUUUCCAAUCAAUGAUGAAUCCAGAUCUUGGGCCUUGCGUGUCAUCAUACAGUUUCCUUUUUAUAAGGAAGAGCUGCUUUCAUGUGUUACAUUACUUCAUGCAAAUUACACAUCAGGUAUGCACCAAACAAAUUGGUAAAGUAAAUUUUGUUGUGAUCUAAUUCCCGUAAUAGUGUUUCCUAGGAAAAAUAUAUUUGAGUUUCAAGUGUCAUAGUCAUAAAGGAAAUACUUCCCCUGCCUUCCUUACCUCCCUUCCUUGAUUUUCCCCACUCCUUUCCUUGUACUUCUUCCUUCUCUUUCAUCCUUUCUUAAAUAUUUAUUGAACAUAAAUUAUGUGCCAGGACCUGUGAUGGGCUCCAGGGGUACAGAAAUGAAAUAUACUACCAUUCCUUUAAAGAGUUCAUCGUGGGCAAGGCAGGAAAAGAAAAACAUAAGCACAUACAUACACACAUAGAUAAAUGAGUAACUGCAAUACAGUGCAAUAAGUAAAAUAGCAGAGAAAUAUGCAGAAAAAAAGAGGGAAAUCUUAGUCCGGAGAAACUUUGCAAAAAAGAUAAUGUCCUAACCCAAUGAGGUUGAGGAAUUUCUUCCAUGUGAGGAAAUAGGAACAUAGUAUUACAGACAGAAGAAAAGGCAGGUCAAAGAUCAUAAUGUUAGUAAAGCAUGACAUAUUUGGGAAUUGCAAAUUCCUCAAUAUCACUUGAACUUAGCCUACAGUAGGAGAGAGGUAAGAGAUCAAGCUUCAGAGACAAAUGAGGAAGAUCAAACAGGUUGGAAUGCAAUACCAGGGUUCCCAGAUUUGAAUCUAUUGGGAAAAAAGCAUCAGCAGAGUCAUUAUGUGAGCAUCAAGAAUGGUGUGUGUUAAAUCAAGUUUAGUCUAAAGCUGCCUCCUCGUGUAUGUUAAGUUUGGUGUAAAGGUUUCUGUGUACAUUGUGACUAUAACCUAAAUGGACCUGUAUACAGACUGUAGCCUAUUCUUUUGCCAGUCACUGAGUUUUUGCCAAUCAAAGGUUGCCAACUUUUCAAACAAUGUUCAAAUAAGGCAAACAGCCAGUUUGGCUGUUUCUGUACCUGACUUCUGUUUUCUUUUUUUUAUAUCAUUUUCCUUUUUCUGUCUGUAAAUUUUCUUCUACCAUGGGGUUGCACUGGAGUCUCUGAGCCUACUCUGGUUCUGGAGACUGUCUGAUUCAUGAAUCGUUCUUUACUCAAUUAACCUCUUUUAAAUUUAGUUUGGCUAAAGUUUUUGUUUUAACAAUGUGCAAGUGCACACAUGUGUGGGCCAGUAGAAUUCUGGUAAUGGUUAUUAGGCCGAGUUGUAGAGUUGGGGGGUAUGAUAGUUAAUGGUGUGUCAAUGGUGAGUGGGACACAGGGAACCCAGAUUAAACCUUGCCUGUUGGUACAUCUGUGAGAGUGUUUCUAGACAAGAAUAACAUUUAUGUUGGUAAACUCCGUGAGAUAGAUGGCCCUCCCCUGCAUGGUCAGGCAUCAUCUCUUCUGUUAAAAAUCUAAAGAAAACAAAAGGUGGAA